UGGCGGAGCAGGAGGUCCUCUCAUCAUAGGCGGUGGACCGCCCUGUGGCUGUGGAGGCAUUCCCAUGGGUCUUUGCCCGAAAUGUGGAGGAGGAGGCAUAGGAAAACCCUGACCAGGUGGUGGAGGCCUAGCACCAAACUGAGGAGGAGGUGGACCGCGCCCCAUCGGUGGAGGACCUUGACCAGGGAAAGCCAUCUGUCCAGGUGGCCUAAUAACAGGCGGUGGAUAACUCAUAGGAGGAGCAGAAAGUUGCGGGACCGGAGGACGCGAGAUCUGAGGCUGCAUCAUACCAGGAGCGGGGCCACCAACACCUCUGACGGGACCAGCAAGACCAGGCUGAGCUUGAAUAAGAGGAGCAGUAGGAAUCCCACGGCCAGCAGCGCGUCCAAUGCCGGGUCCCGCAACGGCAGUAGCAGAAACAGCCUUAGCGCGCGACUCUUCUUGAGGAGGUGGGCCUUCGACGGUCAUGGAAAUAACUUCUUCGCCGCGGAGGAGAACGAGGCCGAGAGUCCGGCGGUCUUCGCGCUCUUCGUUGUUCUUUUUGCCUUUGGCUGGUGGAAGUUUGCGAAACUCCUCGCAGUCACCGAGGACUAAAUUCAUGUGGCGAUCGAAUGCCAUGAAUUUGCCUACUAGUUGACGGCCGUCUUGAAUUGUGACUCGCAUUCUGUAGUUUAUGUGUUGGAGCAUCUUGGAGCUCUUCGACAUCGACAUUUUUAUUAAUCUAGGGAAUUGCAGAAUUUGGGGUUUUGACAAGAAAAGGGCGGAAAACGAAGGUUUUAGGAUUUUGGAAGGGUUUUAUUUCGGUACGGUGAUGUGGAGAGAGGAAAAGAAAAGAAAAUAAAUUGUAUUAAUUUUCUUUCUUCGAAAUUUUAUUUUUUCUUUGGUGAAAAUAUUCUGAAAUUCAAAUCCCUUUACUUUUACAUUAUUCGUAAGUUCAAUAAUUUUCUUCUUAAAGGCAAACAACCCUUUAUAAUUUUGUUCCAUCUCAAUAGUUUUGAUUUUCUCAAGUUAAUAUGAAUAAAAUAACUUGUAUAUAAUUUUUAUAUAAUAAAAUUACUUGAUAAGUUUUUGGAAUUAGAUCUUAGUUUAGAAAAAUAAAUUUAAAAUUAAACUGAGCCUUUUAUAUAAUUCUGAGUUCUGACAUAUUAAUAUAGAAUUUAAUUUUUUAUAAAAGCAAAAUGGAUUAAAAUAUCUAAAAUAUUCUUUUCUCAAAAGCAUUUCAGUCACUAAAUAUCUUUUGCUAAUUUAUGUAUAUAUUAAUUUUUUAGAAUUAAAAAUUUUUUUAUACGUAUAUUUAAUUUUUAAAAUAUAAAAUUUUUAUUUUGACAUGUGUAUUUAUUUUUAACACAUGUGAUUCAAACUUAUAUGUAAUUUUAUAAUUUUAUCUAUUAAUUUAUUAAUUCAUAAAUUAUAUUCUAAUUAAACACUCACUCUAAUCCUAAAAAAUAGCAUAUUAAUUAUUUUUAAUAUUAUAUUAAAUAAUAAAUAAUUUUCUAAUCAGAUACUAAUACUAAUUAUAUUCUAGAAAAUAGCAUAUUAAUUAUAUUUUAAUAUUAUAUUAACUAAUAAAUAAAUUUUAUAAUUAGAUAAUAAUUUUAUUUUAAAAAAUAACAUCUUAAAUUAUGUUCUUAAUAUUAUAUUCAAUAAUAAAAUAAAUUUUUAAUUAUGUAAUAAGUUUUUAAUCUUAAAAAAUUAUAAUAUCAAUUAUAUUGAUAUAUUAAUUUAAAUAGUAUUAAAAUAAAUUAACAAAUAAUUUUGUAUUAUUUUAUUAAUAAAAUUUUAGAAUUUAAAAAAAAUUAAAAAUAUUUAAAAAUAGUUAGUUUGUUAUUAUUUUUAAAAUUUUAUAAAUUAAUAUUAAAUAUUAAAAUUUAUCUUAGGCUAUAAAUAGGACAUCUUAAGCAUUGUCUCAAACACCUAGAAUGCUAGAGAAACCUUAGAUAAGUUUUGUAAACUCCACCCAUUCUUUUUAAAGCUUUCUUGCAUAAUCAAAGCUAUUCUUCCAAGUUUCCAAGUGACUCCUUUUUUCCAUCCUUCUCACAACUCUCUUGAGCUUAAAUUAUUCCUUAGCUAUCGUUGAUAGGUUGUACGGGGCAAAAUGUCACAAAACUUCGGUUUAGAGAUUAGCCAAGUCGUGCGGCACUUAGUUAACUUACUUGACAAAGUCAAACUAAGUAAGUCUAGAUGAGAGUUGGGAGCAAUUUUAGGUGAGCAAAGUAGGCAGCAGGGGUUUAGAACUUGGGUAGGGUAGAGAGUUGAGAGCACUUGAACUUUGAAAGUAUGGAGAGCUUUAUUAAGUUUCCAACCUUUCUCUUGUAUGUUCUUGUUGUUCUUGUAUGUUACAAAUGAUGGAUGGAGGGGGUAUUUAUAGGCUUCCCACCUCCUCAACUUAUGGCUAGGAAUCAUUCUUCUAGAAUUCUCUACAAGUUACAUAUGUACAAGGCUUCCUUUGGAAGCUACUAUAUGUACAAACAUCUAGACUUACUUAUAGGCAGCUCAUUGGCUUGGCACAAAGCCUUGCAUCCUCCAACAAUCUCUAGAUCCUUCCCUUGAUUUCCCUGGGCAGCCAACUUGGGCUAGGCAGCAGCAUUGGACUGGGCAUAUGUUGGGCAUAUUUCUGCCCAUGGACAAGCCUUGCCUUGCCCAAGAUGAGGCGGGCUGUGACACCCUCCCCCACUCAAUCUCUCGACGUCCUCGUCGCGCCUUGAGCUUCGUAUUUUUGGAUAUGCUCAAGGAAUUGCCAUAGCAAAUCUUCACGUUCCCACGUAACCUCACUGUCGGGAAAAUUUUUCCACUUCACCAAGUAUUCGUUGUAGUUGGGAACUCCUCUUCUUCUUAUCACUCUAUCUGCAAUGAUGCAUUCAAUCUCCUUAUCGAACUCGGUGACAACGGUUAUUGGAGCUCUUCUAGAUUCUCCACGGCUGGAGUCUUCCUUGUCUUCGUGGUAUGGCUUAAGCAUACUCACAUGGAAGACAUUAUGGAUUUUUAAUCUCGAGGGCAGUUGGAGCUGGUAGGCAACAGCACCAACGCGUUUUACGACUAGGAAUGGACCUUUAUAUCGCCUUACCAAGCCUUUUGUACUUUGCGGAGGGAUUUGAACUUAUUAGGCAGCAGCUUCACCCUCACCAAGUCGCCAGCGCUGUAUUCCUUAGGGCGUCUCUUUACAUCAGCCCACUUCUUCAAGCGCUUCGCUACUUUGUCGAGGCAUGCCCUUGUUAUAUCCGCCUCUUCGUGCCAUUCCCUUACAAACUUAUAGGCAGAAGGGUUGGCUCCUCUAUAGCCAGCAGCAAUGGCAUUUGGCGUCAAUGGCUGCUGUCCCAUAAUGACUUCAAAGGGACUCUUACUCGUGGACUCGCUCUUUUGGAGGUUAUACGAGAAUUGGGCUACGUCAAGCAGUUUUGCCCAAUCUCGUUGGUGAGCACUAACAUAAUGCCUUAGGUAGAGUUCCAGCCAAGCAUUAAUCCUUUUCGUUUGGUCGUCGCUUUGUGGAUGAAAGCUUGUAGAGAAGUUGAGGUCUGUGCCCAGCAACUUGAACAACUCUCGUCAAAACUUGUCGGUAAACCGAGGGUCUCUAUCACUGAUUAUACUCUUCGGUAAGCCCUACAGCUUCACAACAUUCUUGAAGAAGAGGCGAGCUGCCUCGUCUACCUUGCAGUCCGCCGGGGUAGGGAUAAAAGUAGCAUACUUGCUAAAUCUAUCCACGACAACCAUGAUACUUUCGAACCCUUCGGAUUUUGGCAGGGCCACAAUGAAGUCCACAAGACACUCUCCCAUGGCCUUUCAGCGACAGGAAGAUGUUCAAGUAGGCCAGCAGGCUGUUAUUGUUCCACCUUGUCUUGUUGGCAUAUAAGGCAGGUCCGAACAUAGUCCUCCACAUCGUCCUUAAGUUGCGGCCAGUAGUAGUUUUGCUGGACUAAUGCAAGUGUGCGAGUCAUGCUGGGAUGUCCAGCCCACAAGGAGUCAUGGCACUCCUUCAAAAUUUCUCUCCGCAGGUUUCCCCACUUCGGCACAUAGACUCGAUUGCCAAUAGUGAGGAGAAGGCCAUCUUUCUCCCAGAAUCGUCGAGUUUUUCCCUCGAUUGCCAGCUUGAUAAUGCUCUUGGCCAAAGUGUCUUGCUGCAUUCCUUCCUUGAUUCGGCUAAAGAAGUCGCUCUUCAGCGUGCUAGCAGCAAUGGAAGCCAACUCCGCCUUUCUACUCAACGCAUCAGCGACAAUGUUGGCUUUACCUAGCUUAUAUUCAAGCUUGUAGUCGAAUUCGGCCAAGAAAUCUUACCAGCGUGCUUGCUUAAGACUCAACUUCUUUUGAGUCUGAAAAUAGCUUGUAGCUACAUUGUCCGUUAAAAUAGUGAACUUGUUGUCGAGCAAGUAAUGUCUCCAUGUGCGCAAGCAGUGGACGACGGCGGUCAUUUCCUUCUCUUGGACAGUAUACCGCCUUUCCGUUUCAUUGAGCUUGUGACUUUCAUAGGCGAUAGGGUGCCUAUCUUGCAUAAGGACGCCUCCAAUGGCAUAAUCUGAGGCAUCUGUAUGCACCUCAAAUGGUUUUUCAUAGUCGGGCAGCAUCAUGACAGGCUCCAUUGACACGACAUCCUUCAAGGCUUCGAAUGCAACUUGGCAUUCCUCACCCCAAUUCCAUACCUUAUUCUUCUUGAGUAGUUCCGUCAAUGGAGCGGCAAUGGCAGAAUAGCCUUUGAUGAACCGCCGAUAAUAGUUCACCAGCCCAAGAAAAGAUCGCAACUCGGGCACUUUGGAAGGAGGUUGCCAUUCUUGGAUGGCUUUAACUUUUGCUGGAUCCAUCAUUAACCUACCAUCUUUGAUUCGAUGGCCAAGGAACUCUACUUCUUCUCUCGCGAAUGAGCAUUUCUCACACUUCACGUACAGCUCGUGUUCGCAGAGUACUUGGAAGACUUGCUUGAGGUGUUGCAUAUUCUCCUUAAGACUGUUGCUGUAUACAACAAUGUCAUCCAAAUAAACAACCACAAACUUAUCAAGAAAGGGAUGGAGUACCUUGUUCAUGAGCGUACAGAAAGUGGCAGGGGCAUUAAUGAGGCUGAAAGGCAUGACCAAGGACUCGAAAGCUCCAUAUCGAGUCACACAUGCUGUCUUCGGCACAUCACCAGGUGCGAUGCGGACUUGGUAGUAACCAGACCUCAAAUCCAGCUUUGAGAAAUAUUGAGCCUUCCCCAAUUGAUCGAACAAGUCGGCAAUCAAGGGAAUUGGUUACUUAUUCUUGAUGGUAAUCUUGUUUAAAGCUCGAUAAUCUAGGCACAUCCGUAGCGAACCGUCCUUCUUCUUUUGAAGAGGACUGGCGCACCAUAUGGGCCUUCGAUGGCUGGAUAUAGCCCGACUCAAGUAGAUCUUGGAACUAUUUUCUCAAUUCAGCCAGCUUCGGAGGUGCCAUGCGGUAGGGUGCCAUGGCAAGAGGUUUAGCACCAGGCUCGAGCUCGAUGUCGUGAUCCACAUAUCGCUUUGGUGGCAACUUUUUCGGCAGCUUCAGUGGCAUCACGUCCUUGUAUUCGUCAAGGAGUGCUUCGAUGGAUUAUGGCAAAUGCGGGGCAGAUUACUCAACAUCGUCCUCAUCAUUAAGCUCCCUCAUAGUUGCGACGUAACACUCCCCGUUCUUGAGACCCCGCUUGAAUUGCAAGGUAGAAAUCAUAGCGGGUUUGGAUUUCGCCAUGCUCUUCAAGGGGAUCACUCUAAGCUUAGAAGCGUCGAGGAUCACUAGAGAGCUCAUGGAAGGGACCAAAAUGGCAUAGGCUUUGUAGAAGAAUGCUAGACCAAAAACAGUUUUAAAAUCAUCCAUAGGCACAACAGUAAAGUCUAGCGUACCUUGCCAAUAACCAACUUGCACCUUCAUAUUUUUCGAAAUGCCAUGCAUAGGCUUUGUCUCCGAAUUAACAGCCUUAAUCGUGCCGACUCUUUUGGACAGCUUCAGGCCUAGGCGCUUCGCCUCGUACACGUCCAUGAAGUUGUGCGUAGCACCCGUAUCGAGCAUGGGGCAGGCAACUUUGCCCUUAAUGAAAGCAUCGACGUAAAGCAGGCCUCUCUCCUUGGAGACUGAGCGAGAGAGGAGCUUUGACAACGCACCUAAGUGCUGUAGAGAACCCAUGCCAGCUUGGGGUUCUUAUUGGCAGUUAUCUUUGUUGAAUUCUGCCACAAUGGCAUUCAUCACCUUUCGAUUUGGGCAGUUCCUCACCUAGUGUGGUCCAUCGCAAAUGAAGCAAGGCUUGGGCGGCUUAGAGGCAGCAGGUUUUUCUUUAUGUGAUGCACCUUUGCCGUACUUUUAGUUGCCGCCAGAGGACUUCUGGUAGCCAUUCUCUUUGCCUUUGUUGAAGUCCCUCUUUUGGCCUCCCCCACUCUUGGAAGAGCUAGACUUCUUGCCCUUGUCUUGAGUAGAUUAGUCCUUGAGGUUCUCCACUGCGGUAAUUGCUUCAUCAAGGGUUUGCACUCCGCGUCGCUCGAGCUCCAUCUUUACCCAAUCUUUCAACCCAUCCUUGAAAUCAAAGAGGAGCUGAUCGUCGGUUAGGUCUGGAAUCUCUAGCAUGAGAGUCGUGAACUCCUUGACAUACUCGGCAAUACUUCCUGUUUGCCUUAGCCUAUGCAGCCUGCUUCAUACCUCAUCAUUGGAGUUGUGAGGCAUAAAUUGCUUGCGGAGCUCGGUCUUGAACUGUUCCUACGUGUUGAUUAUGCAAAGUCCCUUCUCCCUAUCGGAAUGUUUCCUUCUCCACCAGAGUUAGGCGGAAUCCCUUAAGAAGAUGGCAGCAUUGCUAAUCUUCAAAAAGUCAUCCGUGACGUUCAUCACCUCAAAGCCCGAACAAGAAGUUUUCCACCAUAGUGGCGUUGCGCGUGCCAUUGUACAUGCCAGGCUUAGGGACUUUCAAUCCGUGCGAGGUAGCGGAACUAGUAGUGGCAGCUGUGCUUGUCGAGGGUGGACUACCUUGACGAAGAGCAUCAAUCUCCCUACGAACCUCUUUCAGCUCAUCUCGUAGGGUACUUUGCUGGUCAACGAACUCUUCUUUAAGGGAGCAUAGUUUUCCCCAAAAAGUUGGCCUUGGCAGCCCUUGUGAUCUCCAUGUUUUCAUGGAUGAGGUUGUCAACCUUAUCACUUAGCUCGCCAAUAGUCGAAGUCACGCUAGUCAAUCUUUCUCAAGGCUAGCAACUCUGGACUCGACAGGCUCGCGUGCUGGAGCCUUGGAUUUCCCCCGUUUAGGCUGUGAUCGAUGUUCCUCACGCCCGUGGGUCUACUCAGUGCGUUGCUCUUCCAUCGUAACAGCCACAAUUCCUUCCUCGCUUGCCAUCACUCGAAUCACUUCCACCAGCGUUACCUAGGAUUCAAACAGUUGCUCUGAUACCACCUGUCACGAAACUUCGGCUUAGAGGUUACCCAAGUUGCGCGACACUUAGUUAACUUGCUUAACAAAGUCGAACUAAGUAAGCCUAGAUGAGAGUUGGGAGCAAUUUUAGGUGAGCAAAGUAGGCAGCAAGGGUUUAGGACUUGGGUAGAGUAGAGAGUUGAGAGCACUUGAGCUUUAAAAGUAUGGAGAGCUUUAUUAAGUUUCCAACCUUCCUCUUGUAUGUUCUUGUUGUUCUUGUAUGUUACAAAUGAUGAACGGAUGGGGUAUCUAUAGGCUUCCCACCUACUCAACUUGUAGCUAGGAAUCAUUCUCUAGAAUUCUCUACACGUUACAUAUGUACAAUGCUUCCUUUGGAAGCUACUCUAUGUACAAACAAGGGAAGUUUCUAGGUAGCUCCUUGGCUUAGCACAAAGCCUUGCAUCCUCCAGCAAUCUCUAGAUCCUUCCCUUGGUUUCCUUGGGCAGCCAACUUGGGCUAGGCAGCAGUAUUGGGCUGGGCAUAUGCUGGGCAUAUUUUUGCCCAUGGACAAGCCUUGCCUUGCCCAAGAUGAGGCGGGCUGUGACAAAAAGCUGACUUAUAAGAUUAUUACCUGAAAGAAUCAAGUGAUUACAUGUACGUUAAAGGAAAAUCUUUAUUUUUGGAGGAAGGGUAAAACUCCAAAUAAAUUCUCUCCAUGAAGCAUAGGAGUUGGCAUGAAAGGCAGGAGCAAAAUAAUUAAAGGAUAUAACUAAAAAAUAAGCCCUUUGUAAAGUACAAUUCGUUAGAGCAUCAAAAUGCCAACAAAAUACCAAUUAGCACAUAGAAAACUAGGGCGAGGCAUCUGCAAAAUAAGAACAUUUUCAUGAGCAAGAAAAUUUAAUUUAACCAAAUCCAAGUCCCAAAUGUCAUGAGCCCACAAAUAAGAGGAAAUUUUACGAACCGAUCUGUGAGUUCGCGACCGGCGCUAGGGAAUGGGUAGGCUUAAGGCCACCAAAAUCCAUAGCAAGCCUGACAUAUCACUAAAUCAAUUUAAUAUAAUAUUUAUCCAUUAUGUCAAUAUUUCNNNNNNNNNNNNNNNNNNNNNNNNNNNNNNNNNNNNNNNNNNNNNNNNNNNNNNNNNNNNNNNNNNNNNNNNNNNNNNNNNNNNNNNNNNNNNNNNNNNNNNNNNNNNNNNNNNNNNNNNNNNNNNNNNNNNNNNNNNNNNNNNNNNNNNNNNNNNNNNNNNNNNNNNNNNNNNNNNNNNNNNNNNNNNNNNNNNNNNNNNNNNNNNNNNNNNNNNNNNNNNNNNNNNNNNNNNNNNNNNNNNNNNNNNNNNNNNNNNNNNNNNNNNNNNNNNNNNNNNNNNNNNNNNNNNNNNNNNNNNNNNNNNNNNNNNNNNNNNNNNNNNNNNNNNNNNNNNNNNNNNNNNNNNNNNNNNNNNNNNNNNNNNNNNNNNNNNNNNNNNNNNNNNNNNNNNNNNNNNNNNNNNNNNNNNNNNNNNNNNNNNNNNNNNNNNNNNNNNNNNNNNNNNNNNNNNNNNNNNNNNNNNNNNNNNNNNNNNNNNNNNNNNNNNNNNNNNNNNNNNNNNNNNNNNNNNNNNNNNNNUGGAGAAUCUAGAUUUUUAAUAGUCAGUCCUGCAAAUAAAAUUUAUUAUAUUAAAACCUGAAAAAUAAGGAAGUCUGGCUGCCAAAAAAGAAGAACUGCUGAAGACCUAGUUGACACUUGAAAAAUCAGGUUGAGACUGUCAGUCUCAAGAGUAAGUUAAAAUCAUAUAUAUAUAUAUAUAUAUAUAUAUAAUAAUUAUUUAAAUAGUAUAGAAUAUUACAUAAUGAUAAAUACGUGUCAUAUCAUAAUUUAAAAAUAUAUAAUUUUUAACACUCACGGGACGAGUACUUCAGCAGAAUCCUAAACCAAGUUCUAGCAGCUUUUUGACUCUCUUAUUCUAAUAAGACUAGCACCUAGAGAAUAAAGCUCUACCAGAAUUCUUAAAUCCAGUCUUGUCACUUAAAUACCAAUAUAGUCGGCACCCAUAGCGCAAUACUCCUCGAGGGACCUUUCUCCAGCAAAUCACAAUAAAGAGUUGUGCUCGGCCAGAGCAAAUCACCAAAUAUUUUCCUAUUACCUAAGAUACACACAUGGUCCUGAAGCAACCCAUCAAGUAGGAUGUUCUACUGCAGUCUCAUCCUGGAUCACGUUACCAUCAUACAUUAAUAAUAUUUAAAAUAGCGUAAAUUAGAAAUAAUCUUAAUUUUAUUCAAUGAAUCAUUAAGUAUUAAAAUUAAAUAUCAACGAAUAUAACAGACAUAAAUUUAAAUGCAGUAUAAACAACAAUUAUAACCAUUAUGAAAUUAUAAUGGUAAAAAUAAAUAAAUAUUACUUAUAAAAAAUAUCGAUAAUAACAAAACUAAUUUAAUGAUAAUAAUAAUCAUAAUAAUCAUAAUGGUUGUCAAUCCAAACAAUGCAUUAAAAUUAGGCAUGACAUGUAUAGUGAUUACAUGACUUUAACUUACAGUUCUAAUAAUAUUUUUACUCUGCUCCUGUGCCUCGGGUGGAGCAGGCUGAAUCAAUGGAAUAUCUAUUCACGGGAAUAAUUCAAUCAAUAAAAAUAAUAUUUAAUAAAUAACCAUGAGCCUAGACUCAUAGAAUUUACUGUCUAAGAAUUUCGACUCAUAAAUUAUACUGAGUAUUCGACAUAAUCUUCCAUAAAAUACGAACGUUUAUCCCCCAUAUAACGAGUCCAAAACCUGCUAAAAAUACUUCAAAUAUUCAUUACAUAUUUAUCAAGAGUCGAGUCACCCAUAACUGCAUUAUUUUCUCGACUCCAUAACACACCACAUAUCACAAUUAGUAACAGACAGUCCAACUUUAAUAUUUAUUUCAUAAACAACUCAUAAAUAAUUUUCCUAGUAUCUAGUUUAAUUAUUCACAAUCACAAUUAUCACAAAACCAAAUAAUUCUUAAUCAUAAUAAUUAAUUCAUAAUAUUUAUAAUUAAACUAUCAAUUAAUUAAAUUAAUUAAUUAAUUAUAAUUAACAAUUAAUGAAGUUAAUGAUUUUUGAAUAAUUUUCAAGGUCUAAAUAAAUUUUACCGAGCCAAAAAUUCAAAACUCUGCGCAUCUGGAAAAACUGGAUUCCGAAAAUUGGUACCGUCAACGGUGUCGAAAUUCGAAUCUGAAAGUGCUUACGCGAAGCUUACGACAUGCUGAAUCCAAAUAUGUAAUUAUUUUUGCCUAGAACUCAUCGAAAACUACCGGAUCGAGGCCGAAAGAUUUCAUCUCUGGUGAGGCAUAGAGGAGCUCUACAAUGACUGCCUGAUGGCAAAGAACGGAUGUCUUAUGGUUUUUGGGCCAGGGAAUCCGAAUCCGGUGUCGAUUUGGCCAGAAAAUGCCGGUAAGGGGUUGUACCAGAGGUGGAAGCUAGUGACGCCUCCUUUCUCCCUUGCUUCUCAACUUUUUUGAUGAGAAAAUGGGGAAAGAGUGAGGGAAGGGAAGAGGAGGAAAAAUGCUGAUGGCUGUGGUACUUGGUUGAUCCUUACAUAUGUAAUGUAGUGCUUUUGAGUACCCGUGUUAGUUUUAUAGGAAAUUGAGCGCAAUGUGCUUGCUUUCUAGUUGGGUUCUUAGGAUGAGCAACGCCAAUUGCAUUGGCAGAAUGGAAGGCGGUAUGGAUUUUAGGGACCUUAGUACUUGCAAGGGUAAUUAUCCCAACUGGUACCAAUACUUGGCACUAUAUAUCAAUUUGGUACCAAGACUUUAAUUUGAAUCGAUUUGAUGCUGACGUGGCAUGCUGAGUAGGAAUUUUUCAGGUAUUUUGCCCGCUCAGCGUGUGCCACGUCAAUUAAUGACGCUGAGCGGGAAAAAUCCCAUUAAUUUAUCCUAAUUUCCCCUAAUUAAUCCUUAAUUUCUCAAAAUUCCUAAUUCUAUUUCCCUCUCCCCUCUUCUCUCCUAUUCCCCUCUCUUCUUCCCUGCUUCCCUCUCUUCUUCCCAGCAUUCUCGCAUUCCAAAAUCUCUCAUUCGUUCUUUCAAACAUAUUGUGUGGAGUAUGUUUGAGCAUCUAGAGGCGAUCGAGUUCAAGAGACUGGGAGGUAACGAGUUUAAAUAUAAAGAAAAGAAAGAAGAUGAGAAAGAAACAUCUAGCUCAGACAAAGAAGAGGUUGUUUUUCAAGCCCUGAUGGAAUUAAAAGGCGUAGGAUUAUGGUUAUGCAGUAUUGUAUUAGCUGGUUUGAGUGGGGAUGCAAAGGUAUUCUUGGAGAUGAGAAAAUCAGAUGGGGUAUUGUCUAACCCUUCUUUGCUCAAUCUGGAUUCAAGUAUUUGUGGUGUUAUGAUGGAGAAAGGAUGUGUAUUAAAGGAUGUAAAAGAGCUUAAAGAUUCAGCUACUUUCCUUGCUGUUGUUAUAGCUGGUAAGAACAGCAGUGAUGCAGCAGAGGAACUGCGGAGAAAAAUGGGGGUGUUUGAGAAGAUGCUGGAUGGUUUGGGAAAGGAGGUGAAUCUAUUCUUUUCCGAAGUAUUAGCUUGGAGAAAUCAAUUGCUUGAUGGUAUUAGAUUUCGGAAGUAGUAACAAGGUUUAUAAGUUUAUAUGUAUUGUUUGUUCUUAAUUUUGUUGUAUAUAGAGUUACUUCAAUUUUAUUUCAUAGCAAUUAUAGGAUCUUUUGUAAAGCUGCAAAGAAAAUUUUAAAGAUAUAAAUAUAUGGUUGAUCAUCUUCAAAUUGUAAAUUCUAAAAAAUUGCAUGUACAAUCUCAUUCAGAAAUUAGAUUUAGAACAUGUUAAAAGAAGCUGCAAAAGUAGUGCAUUCUAGUUACUGAUGAAUUCAGGAAAGGAUGGAUAUAAACCAAAAUCUAGGCAGCAUUCACUAUUCUGAUACAGGUGGAAAAAAGGAUCUAAGAAAACCAUUACCCAAAAUGGGCAACACUAACUACCACUUGAAACCAACUAAUUGUCAUAAUCGAAGUUCAAGAAGAGAAUAAUCAUAAAUUCAGCCAGUGGUAAAUUAUGGUUAAGAAAACCAUGUAACCUAUAUGGUGGACAAUUCUAAGCAGGGCUAGUGUUAAAAGGACUAGUAGAAGACAUCAUUGUUGACACUAAGGACAAUUCUAAGCAAAAGUAUUAAGUAGUGCACUUUAAGUAAUUACAAAAUAGCAACUUGUAUUAAGUGUGGAACACAAGAACAUGACAAAAUAAUUAAAUGAUUUUAUGGUCCUGAUCAAAAAACAGUGUUGACACUGAGCACAAUAAACAAGCAUGUGAAAUAUGUCUUAUGGACCACAAAAGCACCAUCUGUCCUAAAAGCAAAAAAUAAAAGUUCCUACAUAUAAACAAGUUCCUAAUGUAUUAAACAAUCAUAAUGCCUAGCUAAGGCUUGUUGUUGUCUCCAAGACCAGCAGGCAUCCAAGGCUUCUUCUUCUUUGAGGUUGCAGUCUCAACAUUUUCUUUCCUCUUAGCCUUCUUAGUUGUUGCUUGCACCUUAUCUUUCCCCUUUCCCAAACUUUCAUUUAGAGUAGAAUUAGAUCCAGAAGCUUUCUUUGAUGCUGUUGAAAGAGAUGCAGAUCUAGGAGGCAGAAAUGGCUUGUUGCCCUUGUUCUUCAUUGUCUUGCCCUUGUUCUUCACUGUCUUGGCCUUGCCAUUCUUCUUACUCGGCUGGGAGUCUUCAUUCACUCCACUUGAUUGAGUUGGAAUAUCACUUAGUAACUCAUUGAUGCUUCUUGUAUUUUGAUGAGGUCUUUGUGUUCCUGCAACAGUUUGGGACAAACUUGUCCAAUGAAGAUUAAUAUCAUCUAGAUCUACUAGAUGACUAGGUAUAUCAAACUCAGUUUGGAUUGACAAUGAAGGAGUUACAUUUUGCACCUGCAUAAGUUAAAGUAAAUAUACAUUAGGUUAUUAUAAAUAUAUUUAGUUAAGUAAAUGGACUUAUUACCUGUGCAGUCUCAAUUGGAUCAUUUUCUAAGUAUUGGGCAGUUGGGGAGUUGGUCAGUAGGGUCAUUAAGGAGUUGGUCAGUAGGGUCAUUGGGGAGUUGGUCAGUAGGGUCUAUCUGGUUUGCUCUUCUUUGUACCUAGUAAAACACCAAAAUAAUAAUUUCAUUAUAUUUUAAAGAAACCUAAUAUACAAAAGCUUGAAUUGAAAUUACUCUUACUUGUAAUUUUUUCAUCUUAGGCCGUUUUGAUGUAGAUUUGGCAUGACCAUGGUAUCUCUUAUUGUGGCCUUUAGCUCCACAAAUGGUGCAAGUCAUCACUGAGCCUUUUUUGGUUACUUUGCCCUUUUAUAGUACAACAAUCAUCUCAUCUUCUUCUAAUCUCCUCUUUGUAACAAAUCUGCCUCUCUGUUUUAGUUGAACUGGAGCAGGAGAUAGCACAGGUGGUGUUGUGGCUCUUGGCCAAAAUUCAUAGCUAAUAGUAGGGUUUAGCAAGUGGCUGUAUGUUUUUAAAUAAGUACUGACCUUGUAAUAAUCAUCUAGAUAAUUCUCAGGAUUAUCAUGCUUAUACCAUAUUGCACACACUGCAUGGCAGCAUGGUAUGCCAGUUAAAUCAAACCUCCUACAAGUACAUGUUUUGUCCUUAAUGUCAACCACAAACUGCCCCCUAGGACCAACUACCUAAAACCUAUCCCCCCCUGACCACUCAGUUCUGAACAUCCAGCAGAAUUCUUUAGACUUCUCUAACUUAGCUAAAAUCUUAGGACAAUAUUGACUGGCAGUUCUUUUCAUAGCAUCUCUCUUUUUGUGAAUUCUUUUCAUUAACUUUGUCCUAAUGAUCUCAUUCAUUGUUAUAACUCCCUUAGUCCUUGACUCUAGAAUGAAGCUAUUAAAACAUUCACAAAGAUUGUUUAAUAAUAUGUCACAUUUAGGGGUUGUCCUAAAAUGUGACCUAGACCAAUGGUGGGGGUGGGGGGGGGGGGUAUAUUGUUCAUGUAGUUAUGGCCAUCUGUAGAAAUUUCUACAAUUUUAUCCAUGAUUUUCUGGAACAUUGGCACAUAACUAGCCCUAGCAGCCCCCCAAACUAACUCUUUUAGUCCUAAUGUAUUAAAAUUUUUCUUCAAAUUAUUGUGGACAUGUCUAACACAAAAUCUGUGUUCUGCAUUGAGAAAUAUCUCUUCAAUUGCACGAAUUAAACCCUAAUUAAGCAUAAAAACUAAUAAACCACAAUUAACAACUCCAACAUAUAUUAGUUCACAUAUAUACUAAAAAAAUAUUAAAAUGAAAGGAUUAGAAGCUUGUACCUUCUGUCUGUCACUCACAAAGGUCCAGUGGUGACUGUUGUUGAGUCCCAAGUCAGCUGCUAGUAGGUCUAGGAACCAUUUCCAGUUAUCCUUGUUCUCCUUUUGAACAACUGCCCAAGCAACUGGAUAUAUACAGUCGUUGGCAUCAACUGCCACAGCUGUUAGUAGCUGCCCACCAUAAAUCCCCUUCAACCAGCAACCAUCAAUUGAUAUUAAAGGUCUGCAAUACUUGAAUCCAUCCUUUAGGGCACCAAAAUAAACAUAUAAACCCUUGAACACUUGUUCCUCUAAAUGUAGCACAAUUGUGGACCCAGGAUUACUCCUUAGCAACUCAAGUUUGUAAUCAUGCAGUCUACCCAAUUGCUCUUUUGCAUCACCAUCAAUGAACUUCAGAGCAAUGUUCCUAGCUCUCCAAGCCUUUAGCCUAGAGACAUCAACUGCCAUAUCCUCUUUAACAGUUUGAAUAAUACAUUGAAUUGCCCAACUUGGAUCAGCCCUAAACCUUUCCACAUACUUCAUGGCAAUGUACUUAGCAUUAACAUGUCUGUUAUAGUGCUCUUUAGUGCAACUGUGAUCAAACUUUGCAGACUUGAUUUGCACAGUGUUCUUAUCAUCUGUCUUCAAGUAAGCCCAAAUAAAAAAUUCACAUCCCUUUUUGCACUUUGCUUUACAUUUUGUUUUUGUAUUUGGACCAAAAAUUACUUGAUUCCUACUCCUUAUUGAGUAGUUCUUUACUGCAUCUUUAAACUGCCUAAAAGUACUAAACAACAUGCCUAUCUUCAAAUUAGGGUUGGCCAUAUCUGUCUCCUCAUUAAAAAUUGGUCAUUUUGCCUUCCUCAAAUCAAUAUCACUUUCAUCAGAUGAAGAGCAUGACCUAAGCUCAUCAUUUGGUGCAUAAACAGUCUCAUCUAAACCCUCACCUCCAAUUAUUUCUUUAUUAACCCUUGUUCUAUCCCUUUCUAACGCCAUAUCAAUAAAUUUUUCAAAUAAAUCAUCAUCAUCUUCAUCAUGAAAGUCAUAAUCAGAAUCAACAAAUUCAGGGUCAUCCUCAUCAGCCUCACUUUCAAACUCCUCACUAUCAUCAUUCCCAUGACCAUCUUGUUCAAUUUGUACUUCUUCUAAGCUAGUGCCCUUACUAUUUAGCAUUCUCACUUCCUCAGAUGAUUCAAUAUUAUCAGCAUGCACAACAUUCUCAGUUGGUUCUAAAUUAUCUUGUUGCAUAUUUACCUUAUCCCUAGCAUAAAUAUGAAUCACUCUUGACUCAUCAACACUUAAAGACAUCUCAAUACUAUCACUGUCAUUAUCUAACUUUCUCAAACCACAUGUGUCACUUUUUUUUGGAUGCUUCCAAAACAUAGAAAAUGAUGCAGGUACCAGACUCAAUUCUCUGGCCAUUGCAUCUAUCUCUAAUCUUGACAUCAUAUCAGCAGAACAAAAAUCUAUGCUCCCAACAUCUCUAAUUUCUGGCCUACCCCUACCAUCUACCCCAAAACAAUGCCAUUCUAUACUGAAAUACUCUGUAUCAGGCACUGCAUAUGGUAAAAUGGAUAAAACAAAUCAAUGCCAUUCUUUAUAUUACAAUCACUCAAUACAAUGCAAAUCAAUAAGGAAAAGGGUUUCAAAUCACGAAACACCAACCACCACAAUAAAACACAUAACAGAAGAUCAUCCUUUGCAAGUUACCAAAAACCAAGCACAACCAUCAACAUGCAACAUACAAAGCACAAGAACAAAAUGCAAGUUAUAUGACUUAUAGUACACGGGCUGCCUUUUGCUUUCUUCCCUUCGCCUCCAUUCAAGAGACAUUGUGCGAUGCGAACAAUGCUGUAAAACGCACACUCUAUAAUGUGAAAAUGUUGUGACAGUGGGGGUAACAAUGCUGUAAAAUGCACACUGGGGGUAACAGGAGUUACGGGGAAGAAGAAAGGGAAGAAGGAGAGAUUUUGGAAUGCGAGAAUGCUGUGACAGUGGGGGUAACAGGAGUUACGGGGAAGAAGAGAGGGAAGCGGGGAAGAAGAGGGGAGAGGGAAAUAGAAUUAGGGAUUUUGGGAAAUUAGGAAUUAAUUAGGGGAAAUUGGGAUAAAUUAAUGGGAUUUAGGGAUUUUGCCCGCUCAGCAUCAUUAAUUGACGUGGCACACGCUAAGCAGGCAAAACACCCGAAAAAUUCCUACUCAGCAUGCCACGUCAGCAUCAGCCGUCAGAAUUUGACUGUUGGUACUAAAUUGAUAUAUUUUUAUAUACGUUUGUUAUCAAAUCGAUUCAAAUUAAAGUCUUUGUACCAAAUUGAUAUAUAGUGCCAAGUAUUGGUACCAGCUGGAAUAAUUACCCGUACUUGCAACAAGGCUAUAGUUGGUAAACAGAUUUGGCGGAUGUUAACUAGGCCUGACUCUUGUAUCUCGUGUUUUCUUAGGGUUCCUCAUAAUUCAAUUUUAUAUGGUCGUUUAGGCUCCAAUCCUUCGUAUGUUCGUCCAAGUAUUUUAUAGGGUCUUGAUCUUUUCCAAAGAGGUUUACGAUGACGUAUUGACCUCAUUCUUUCAAGUCAUUUCUCCUCAAAAGACUAUAGCAUCAGGACUGAAAGAUAGCGCGUGAUUAAGCCAAUAUCAAGGCCUAUGAUAUGUUAAUAUUUAUGAUAAAGCAAAGCAAUCAUCCUAUUAAGACUAGGAGACUUAGGCGGUUGCACGUCAAAAAAUAGCUCGUUUAACAUUUUCAGCACAAAAUGACGCCAAUAAAAUCCUGUUAGAAUUGGAUACACAAGUAGGCAAACAAUUUAAAAUCGGAUCCAGUAUCUCCUCACUAGGAGCAGAAGUAGUGUAUGUAUCAGCAAAAUAAUUCUAAACACAUCAUCUGCUACAGUACCUUGGAAAUUAGAUACCCAGUGACCAUCCGUUUGUAGAAGUCUGGUCAUACAAUUAGUACGACAUCUCUAAGUUGCUUUUUAAUGGAGAAACUUUGAUUACAUUCCUUCAAAGCUAACCAAGAACACAAGAGGGUUGAGUCCAAUAAAUUUCAUCCUUAAAUGCUAUUUUUUUUCUAGUUGGUUCUCUAAAGACUCAAUGUUCCAUUAGCAUAGCUAAAUUUGAAUAGGAUGACUCGGUGUUAGGAAAAGUAAGCCCCCCUUGCGUUGAUUGAAUUUGGCUUCACUGCGCCUUGAAUCAAUAAAAAAGCUUAUUGAUUGGAUUCACCCCACUUCAUUUAGGCGAGAAGGGAGGCUGUGAGUCCAUAAUACCCACAACAGUAGUAGCACUGCAUUUAAGUGUUUCAAUCUGUUAUUACAACUUUGCAAUUUUCCAUGGCAAGUGAAGAAACUUUUCAAAACCCCAUUCUGAAGGUAAGGUUACACACUUCAAAAUUUGAGUUAUCAAAGGGACAUAAUUACUUGAAUCACACUGCUGCUAAGGUAGAGAGAUAACAACUUCAUAAUCACUUUCAGCAGUCCAAAUUUCUUAAACCUAAAAUUAAACAUCCAUCCAAACUCUGAAAUAAAACAUGAAUUUGGUAAUGAUCUGAGUGAUAGAAGUCUAAAAAAGUCACCCUUGCUGAUAGAAACUGAAGUAACCAUUUAAAGAACAUAUAUACUUGUCCAAUUUGCAUUGAAUCAGAACCUCUUGAUUAUGUCAGUUUAUUCCAUACAAAGUGAGGACCAGCAUAAGGCAAACACAUUAGAUAAUAAUUUGUUACAGCUUCUUCGAAAGUAGAUAUUUAAGUGAAGGAUCAUAUACGAUCACCUGAUUUAUGCAAUAAGAACUCAUUAGAGUCCCCUCCAAAUAACUAAAAGAAUAUCUUUCACUCAAGAAUGGUUGAUAGCUUGCGAAGUAAGUUCCAAAAGGUGUCAGGGGAAUAUAUGAGGAUUGCAAUAAUACCCAGUAAACUGCCACAAAGUCUUUACACCAUUCACAAGAGCAUCGAUAUGACCAAUAGAGUAAAAUUUCAUGUAAUGGAGAUUUUCAAGACAAAAUUUAGGAAUAAAGUCCAAUUUAGCCCCUAACCUUAUUGCUCGGGUUUAAUUUAGAUUUUCUUAAAAACAAUUUGGACAUUUUAACCCAAACUUUAGAUAUUUAGCUCAAACUAGCCCUAUCUUUUAUAAAAAUGAGAGAGUGAGUUACACACUCCCUAGAGAGAGCAGAUACAAUAUAACAUUAAAAAAAAUAUAUUAAUUUCUAUAUUAAAUUAAAAAUAUAUAUAUUGAUAGUUAAACAAAAAAUAAUAAAAAAAAAUAUUGCUAUAGUAAUUUUACUGUUUUUUUUCUUAACAAUGAUAGUGAAAAAAACAGUUACACUAGUACUGCCAAAGGCAGUAGAGAUGAGAGUAAUUUCAGCGAGAAUAAUGGUAGUAAUAACUAUUUAUUGCUUAAUUACAUUAAUUAACUAAAAUUAUAAAAUAAUUUUUAAAUAAUAUUAUAUAAUUUUUUAAUUAUUUUUUAUUUUCAAGAGAGAGUAUUUCUCACUCUUUUUUUUCAAAAUAAGGUUAAUUUGAGCUAAAUAUACAAGGGUUUAAGUUAAAAAGUUCAUAAAUUUGAAAAAUAAUUAAAUUGAACAUGUGCAACAAGGUUAGUAGUCAAAUUGCACUUUAUUCGCAAAAUUUACCCACCACUACAUACAAAGAACAUGUAAUCAAAACAUAGAAGAGAUUGAAGGGAGCACAAGAGGAAAAAUGUAACUUAGUUCCAGAUAAAAACAACAACAUGGGAUCUUUAGCAUGAAUUAGGCAUUAGAGUUCCUUAAAUUCCCGAAAGGUUCCCAAGCCCUCCAACAUUCCAAAAAAUGCAAUUUAUAAUUAUUGAUAAGACUAGAAUCCAGCCUCAAUUGAUGGAUCAAUAAUUAAAGAAGUGACAACUACUUAGUUUUGAUUUCUACUUUAAUUUCUUAGUUAUAUGGAUUGUCUAUUGCUUACCUCCUCCCUUGAUAAGAUGAUUAAUAAGCAACUCCAUGUACUGUUAACUAGCAAUGCAAAAACACCUUAGGCUUACUCACUCGUUUCCUUGGGGCUUCGAUCAAAAGAGACUGUCGUGAUGGCAUCAUUUGUAGGCAUAGAAAGGUGGGCUUUUUCUUAAUUUAAUACAUUUAAAAUAAAAAUUAUUAUUUUAGGGUAAAAGUAAAUAAAAUUUAGAAUUUAGAAUUUAGAAUUGUUUUAGAAAUAAAUUCUAUUUUAAGGUAUUUUUAAAAGUCAAAAAAGAAAUUUAGUCCUGUUUUUUAGAUAAACUUUUUUUUUUUUUUUUGCUUUUCAGUUUACUCAGAUUACGCAGAGUAACCGGUUCAGCUAGUUUCAUGUAUGCAGCACUAGUGGAAACAACUACUCUUUAUAAAAAUAAUAAAAAUAAUAAAAAUAAAAGUUAAAAAUAAAAUAUGACUGCUCGUCUUUUUUUAUUUCUUUCCUUUUUUUUCUUAUUCUUCUUUGUUCUUUCUUCUUUUAUUUCUAUUUUUCUCUAUUUCUUUCAGUUUUUUUUUUUCAUUUCUUUGUUUCUUUCAAAAAAAUCUCUUUCUUACUUUUAGAGUAGCCGAUGAGUAUUUUUCUGUAUUUUUAUUUUUUGAUCGGUAUAGAACAUCUUUUUUUGUUGGAAGUAAAGAAUAUAUUUUUGACUUUAAAAAGAUAAUAAUUGUAUGUAUAUUUUUUUAACCUUAUAUGACGAUUUUUAUAACUAUUUAUUUUUUUAUUUUUUUGACUUUUUAGAAUAUUAAUAAUAUUUUUUACUUUUGUAGGUAUUAUUAAAGUUAUAUAAGAAAUCGUUAUACAAGGUAACAAGUUGUAUUUGUAAUUUUUUAAAUUAAAUUUGUGGUAGUUAUUAUAUUUAUUUUUUUCAUUAAGAAAUAUAUCAUGACUAUUUUAAAGUAGUUUUAUGCAAAUUUAAAUUAGCAAAAUAUACCUCUUUUUAGGAUUUGUUAAAAUGACCUUUAAUUAUAAUAUGCAAUUUAUGUAGAGUAAAGAAAGGAUAAAAAAUAAAUAUCUAAUUUUCUGUAAUUAGAAAAAAAAUAUUAUUAAAUUAAGAACAAUCCUUCAUGAUACUAAAGGNNNNNNNNNNNNNNNNNNNNNNNNNNNNNNNNNNNNNNNNNNNNNNNNNNNNNNNNNNNNNNNNNNNNNNNNNNNNNNNNNNNNNNNNNNNNNNNNNNNNNNNNNNNNNNNNNNNNNNNNNNNNNNNNNNNNNNNNNNNNNNNNNNNNNNNNNNNNNNNNNNNNNNNNNNNNNNNNNNNNNNNNNNNNNNNNNNNNNNNNNNNNNNNNNNNNNNNNNNNNNNNNNNNNNNNNNNNNNNNNNNNNNNNNNNNNNNNNNNNNNNNNNNNNNNNNNNNNNNNNNNNNNNNNNNNNNNNNNNNNNNAAAGGAGAUAUCUGUUAAAUUUUAAAGAUAAUAAGGAAUAAAAAGUUAGGCAAAGAGCUCAAACCUUUGAAGUUUCUAAUGCAAAUGCCACCAUAACCACUUACUCAAACAAUUCAACAUCAAUUAUAUCAAGAUCAUAAGAUUUUAGAAAACAAAUGUUUAAAUUGAAAUAAUGAAACAACUAUAAAUUACAUUAGCGACAAUAGAGUUAAAUUAACAAUUAAUUCACAAUGAAUUAGGGGGUCAAAUAAUUGAAGAAAAAUAAUUUGAAAAAAAAUUAAUGGAAAGUAAGGAAACGAAAAUAAAAAGACAAUUGGACCUUUGUGAUCAAUAAUGUCGAUCAACCAAAGGUGAAGAUGAGAAGAAAAGAUCUUGUUCUUUAGAAGCAAAGUGGAAUUUAGAUUCUCUGUUAUCAUGAUGUUCUAGUGCUGGAAGAUUAAGGUCUCGUCCAACUUAGAGCAGUAACAAUAAAUUUCACAAACUUAUUGUGCAUCGAAAAGGGUUUUUAUCAAAUAUAAUGGUUAAAAAUAAUUUUUAUAACUAAUUUUAUAAUUAUAGUAAUUACUCAAUACUGUGAAUAUAUAUAUUCUUAUAGACUAAUAAAAUUGAAAAUAUAGUAUUUUUAUGGAAAAAGAGAAGAAAUUUUGGAUAAUCAAAAGAAAUAAUGAUUGUAUAUUUGAUAUAUUAAUGUUUGUAUUGGAUGAGUAGUUUAAUCUGUAUUAAAAAAUUAGUGUUUAUUUGUUGCAAUUAAUUAAUAAUUUAUUUAGAUUUUUUAAUAAUUUAUUUAUUUUUUGUUUAAUUAUGUUUUAUGUUAUUUAUAAUAUUUAUAUUAUUGAUACAAAAAAUUAUGGUAGGGCUUACCGGAGUUUCUGUGGUUAUACAUACUAGUGAAUAAUGAAGAAAAAUGCGAGAAUUAUUAAACAUGUUUGAAAACAUUAAAAUAAAUUCUGAGGACAACAAUGAUGACUUGACUCAUUUGAUAAAUCAUAUUAUAAAAAUUAAUAAUUGUAUACAAGAGAUUGUUUGGAAAAUAUAUUUAAUGACAGAUGGUGAAAAAUAUAAAGUCCUUAAAACAUGUUUAUGUUAUCCAAAUGUACAUGGUAACCUUGAUUGUCUAUGGAAUAGCUAUGAAGGUAAAGGAACUUAUAAAAGACUUAUUAAAGAAUUUAUUAAAGAGUAUGUGAAUUGGGUAGCAAAGAAGACAUCUAGCUAUUAUAUUGGCAAGAGAAAUAUAUCACGAUACUCUAUAUUGCCAAAGGUGAAUUAUGAGUUGCUUGAGAAAGAUAAGGAUAAAUUAGAAAAAUCAAUUCAUGUCCAUAGGAUGGAUUUGUAAUUAUUAUCAUGUCUAUGUUAAUAAAAUUUAUUAUAUUUGAAAUAAUUUAUAUUUGAAGCAUAUUUAAAAGCGUAGUUAUAUUCAUAAGAACUUACAUGAUAGUUAUAUUCAUAAGAACUUACAUAAUAGAAAUGAUGCCUACUAUACUGUCUUUGCUUAUUUAUUGGGAUGGUGAUACCAUUUAUACUUCAAUGGGUACGUGUUUUGUUAAUAUAUAUUCAAAAGUGGUGACGCUAGAUGGAGAGCUAAAUCUUGCCCUAUUGCUAUACAACAUAAAAAAUACUUUGCAACUCACUGGCAAUGCGGAAAUUAAAUUUUAUUUAAAGCAUCAUUUGUUAACCAUGGUGGGAAUUUGAUAUUUACAACAUGUAAAAUUUGGGGGGAAGAUGAUAUUGCGAUUAUGCAUCACAAUGCUAAUUAAUUUUUGGGGUUGCAAUUUGUGGAGUUAUUUGUCGAACAUAACGAUGGUAGAUCUACAGAACAAGUAGUGCAACCAGCUGAACCUCGAUGUCGUAAUUUUAGUGAAAUUGAUAGUUGUAGUCAAAGCGUAACUAACAAUGCCCCUAAGCUCGAUGACCAUUUACAAGAUAUACUUAGACAAACGGGUUUAUAUGGAUUAGUCCAGCUGAAAUUUCUUCAAUUAGAUUAGCACAUAAUAACCGCACUUGUAGAGAGAUGGAGGCCGGAAACUCAUCCAUUCCAUCUCCUAGAUGGAGAAUGCACUAUAAAGUUGCAAGAUGUAGCCAUUUUGACUGAACUUUCUAUUGACAGUUAUGCAUUGAUUGGGCCUACUAGAUAUGAUUGGCCUGUGUUAUGUGAGAGACUGUUUAGGUUGUGUCCUAUUGCAGAGUCAAUUAGAGGGUCACAGCUUCGACUAUCAUGGAUUCGUGCUAACUUUGGCAACAUACCACAUGAAGCUGACAAAGAAUAGUUCAUUGUCAUGCUAGGGCUUACAUAUUACAGCUCAUUUCAGGGACCUUGUUUGCGAUAAAAUUACCAGAUGAGCAUCAUUAGUCGACCUACUAUAUUUAGAAAAUAUUGGGACUAUUCGUAAUACAAUUUAGGAGGUGCAUGUUUGGCAUUUUUGUAUAGAGAUUUGUGUAUUGCAUCAAGAUAUCCUCUUGUUUCACAAUUUAGGGGAGCACUCUUUCUAUUGCAACUAUGGGCAUAUGAGAGAUUUCUAUUCAUCGUACCAACAUUGCAUCACCCACAAUUCUAUCAUGACGCUUUCCUUAAACGAAUGUAUUUUAAUAAUUUUUUAAUUGUCUACCCAGCUAUUUAUAUGCAUAUUUGAUAAUUCUACCUAUAUAAUAAAAUUUAGAUGGAUCGGUCAUCGCAUAGUUCAUAGAGUAGCUACACAUAAGAUCCGUGAGAUCCGAUUUUGGUUUGAUAUAUCUUAUGGAGAUAAGGUGUGUUCAAACUUAUACUUUUACAUUCCUACAAUAUUUAAGCAUAUUUAUAUUGUGUAUUUGAUAAUAAAUUAUCUUUUUAAUAUUACACCUUUUCUUAAUAGAUUAUAUGGGAGUCAUACACGCAUGAGGUCAUUAAGCGCCUUCUAACUGACGGCUUACAUGGCGAGCUGUAGUACCACUAAUAUGUAUUCAUAUAGUCGAAUGGCACCAACCUGAUAGAGUUUUAAGGCAAUUUGAUUUAAAACAACCAAUCUCUAAUCUGUCAUAACAAACUGAGGCAUUUUAUUCUGUCGUGUUACAUAAUAAUAUCAAUAUCAACUAGGUAGAACGACAUUCUAGAUGGAUCGAAAUAUGGAAUAACAUAGCUCAUUGCAUAGUAAAUAGGACACUAUCAGAUAGACCAAUCGACCUGUCAUAUGUAGGUAGAUCACAUGCCGAGGUGCUAUAAUCGGAGCAUCAGUCAAUUAACUUCACCUUUAUUUUAUAAUUAGAUGCAUAUAUCUGCAAUAUUAUUAUUUAUUGUUUUUUUCAUAACUUUUGUCUAGACUAAUGCACUUGAGUAUAUUGGGAUGACAAACUCCAUCGAAACUACACAUCGACUUGCCAGAAGUUCUCAAAGGCACUAAAUGAGGAUAGAAGAAUUGUCAUUAUGCCUCCCCCACAUCCUGCACUUGCUCCUCAGCCAUUGCACAAAGAUGUGCAAGGUUCCAACACAGAAGUUCCCCAACCGCCAAGACGUCGAUGCAACAUGUACAGAGAAGUACCUAUCCCACCUAAUGCGACAUGUGCUAUAGUGCUAGAACCAGUCUCAUAUCAUAAUCAACAGUUUUAUAGAGCAUCAACUUCAUAUACAGCUCCUUCUGCAAUAACUACAUCUUCAAAUAUUCCUAUGCAAUCUCAGCCAAACCCGUUUGUUGAUCCAUCAAACUUUAUGGCAGAUCCUUCUGCAUUAUAGUUCUCCGUCCCUUUUUUAUCAUCAGGUCCAUUCACAGAGUGGGAUAGAACCAAUUUCACGCCUUUUCGACCUUCUCCUACAAUAUUUCGACAGCACAAUCACAAUCAUAGCAUUUAGACUCACAACUGACGCAGACACCAUUAGAUAUGAUGUUGUCAUCAUUUUUCCAUUCACCAUUUCAGUCCUCCAUUCCGACAGCUUUUCAUAAUUUUCCUUAGUUGAGUACAAUGCCAACAGAUACAUAUGCAACUCCAAAUGAUGCCGGAAAUGCCGAUACUAAUGCAGAUGAUCGCGACCUGCCGAUGAUGUUGAAGCUAUUCAUGAUAGUCUUCAACCUAUUCAAUCGCGUGAUUCCUUUUUAUUAAGAUGGAUACUACACGUAAUAAUGCUUGAAGAGCUAGGGGGCUAAGAUUAAAUAUCCAUAGAAGAAAUUGUGGCACAUAAAUACUAUUAUUAUAUAUGUACUUGACCAUUUUAUGUAAUAAUUAAACUUAAUUUAAUCAGUUAUCUUAGCUAACACAUGAAUUAUCAUAGAAAAAUUAUGAGAUAUGAUAGUUAUUAAUUUAAUAGUUAUUUCAUAGUAUUUAACCGUGUCGUGGAAUAACUUAUUUUAAAUUUAUUAUAAUAAUUUAUCUUUUUUAUGUACAGUAAUUUUAAUUUAAUCACGUAUUGUAAUAUUCUUUUUUAUAAAAAAAUUUAUUAAAAUUAAAUUAAUAUUAUGAUUAUGAUUAUCAUGUAUCCGACAGUAAAAUUGAUAGAGAUUUUUCUCUACAAAUUUUAAAUUUGUCCAUCACUUCAAUUUUAACACUCAUAUAGAUCAACAACCACAAUAGAAUAAACCUUACUAGAAGCAAUAAACAGCCCUCGACGAAGAGGUCUGGUCAAACCCAAAAGAACACGAAUCCGAAGUAAGCACCAGCUAACCCACGAUCCACCUCCACCACUACACCAAUUUCUGCAGUGAGUGUUUCAGCCAUGUCAUGGGACAUAAAAGAGGACCCGAAAAGGAGCACAACCAAAACAGAUCAGCAACGGUUUGAUUUUUCCUCAAUGGGGAGGAAGACACUAAAGACCGAACAGAAUUGCAUGGACCCUCAGAAAGCACCCUAUUUUGUUCCAAUACAGAACGGAAUCGUAGCAUAAAGUUAAUUUCACCAACCAUGUGUCCAUUUCCAAACCAUUAGCUUCACGAUUAAUCAAAUAAGGGGACAGAAACCUUACAAAUUAAACACUUGCAUAAUCGUUGAGCAGCGGCAGUAGGAAUAGAGGAGCCUAGUAAUUUAACUUAUACUCAUUUUAACUACCAUCAAAAAAAUUAUAACUGCAGUUAAUUAACAAAUUUACUUCAACAGUCUUAUUAAUUGUUUAGUAAAUUAGAUUACUUAUCAAUUAAUUUUAUUAAUAAUAAAAAUAUCAAUAAUUUUUGAAGACUUGAGUAUUUGAACCAAAUUGCUGUCAAUUGAUUCAUUAACUCGCAACUCAGAACACAAAUUGUGUUGAUUCUUCUUGGGUCAGUGAUGGAAAAAGAAAAGCAUAAAGAUGGACACUAGAGGGGACACCAAUAAUGAAAUCAUUCAAAUAGAGAGGGACAAACUCAUCAAUGGACGAGGGAUCUUCUUCCAUAUAGAAGCCAACCUCCCAAAACGUAUCCUAGAAGUUGCAGUGGACCAUUUUUUUAAAGUUGUUUCGAGUGUUAUACUUUAACAUCUCUUUUAAUUGUUUAUCUUUAAUUCAUAAUCAUAAGUCAAGCCGCAAGUGAAAUUGCUAAACAUGUUAUAGUUUUAAUCAAUUCAUCACAAUUGUGUCCUUUCAACGUAGGUCCACAUGAUCUCUGCAAACAGAUGCGGCGAUUUGCCAACCAAAACAAGGUUCAGCUAGCUCUCAGAUAAUCAGGAUUGGCUGCUUUAAUACGCAUAGACGAGUGCAUAUAAAACAUCAUGAUUUAUAAAAUCCAAGUUUAGCACAGAUGAUAGAUUGAUGUGUAUUAAACACAGAAUAAUCUGUUCAUGAGGUGGAUGCAUCAGGAACUGGAAACAGGGCCAGCCCGUCAAAUACCCAGAAAAAUCACUUCAGUUUAUCAGCCAAGAUGCCAUAAAAUCAGCCUCCAAGGUGAAUGCACCAUGCAGCAGACAAAUAUACUAGAGCGGCAAGUCUGUACGCAACAUCCUGAAUGUUUUUUUCACAUAAAUUCAAUUAAAAUGCUGCACUGCCAACAAGUAUUUUCUGAUGAUCACAUGUGCUACGCUAGAUUUUGGUAGGAAAUACCAAGCCAACAUAAUUUAUAGUACCCUCACAGCAUCAGCUCAAAAGUCCUAGACUACAAUAGGAGAAGGAUACACAUAAGUGCAAACCAAUACAGAACCGCCCAAUAGUAAACUAGAUGUUUCAGACAAUGAAGGCAAAACUCAAACAAAGGCUUCACCAAUUGAGAGAGCUCUUUUGCAAUCUUCAUUCUGAGAAUUUUCACAGCACAACUACAGUGAGCCUGAAACCAAAUUAAUAUAGUCGGGGUGAAUUUCAAACUAAAAGUGAAUUACUUAUGAAUAUGUGGAAGAAAAAUGUAACAUGAGCAAUUUUAGAAUUGAAUCUUUGCAGUAUUAAUGAAUAAAGCACAACUAUUAGCAAAUAUAACCUUAGAUAUUCCAAACAAGUAAUUGACGAACUCCUUGACAAUAAAAAUCAGAAGACGUUAUAGAGUCAAGCGAAUUGCUUUGCCAAAAUCCCAAAUAGAGAAAAGAAUUUAAGUAUACGCAUCUGAGGAAGCUUCACUGCAAUAAGAAUGAUCAAACAAGAGUGUAUAAAGGCAAACUCAGUUUGAUCAACUAAUAUGCCUAUUAUAUAGGCAGGUCAAGCCUAUGUAAUAGCAGCAUGGGCUCAAGUGUCAUCUAGAGAUUAUAAACCCAACAUCUAUUUCUCCAGCCUCAAAGAUGGUUCAUGUAGCUGGAAAUUCCAACCAAUAAAAAUCCCAAUGAACCUAAAAAGGGUAUAAAGGCCCAGCAGAAGUUACUUGUUUUGCAAGACCCCGCUAUAAUUUCUAUCCAUAUGUGUUCUGAUCGCAACUCAUACUAGAUCCGGUUUUUUUUUUUUUAAUUUGAAGCAAAUUCAUUAGGCCGCUGCCCCAACCCCGACUUCAUCAUAAAUAAAAGCAAUAUGCUACAAUAAUGGAACUCCAGACAGCUCCAACUUCAAAAGUAGGCUCAACCAUUUCAAUCUAAUAAGCACACAUAAAAGAUAUGUAAACUGUGCAUAUUAACCAAGGUCCAACAGUAAAAGGCAGAAGAAAUAAGGGGUUGAUAACAAUCUGCCAAUUGUGUCCAACCCCAAGUCCUGUCAACAAAUACAAAAGAAUAGGUGAAGAGAUGAUCGUAUUAGUAAAGGGUUCCCAACCAGGCCUGGAACAGGGUCAGAUAUUAUGAUAUCACCUAUAACAUGCUCAGGCUUGGAUUAGGAUCCUCUGUUCAGUUGGCAAUUCCAAUCCCGAAUCAAACCCUCAUGUUAAUCAGGUCAAUGGGAGAUUGAAUUUUGGCAAUGUUAAUCGAGAAACAAAAUUACUUUGGACUUGAUUCACCAACCUCUUCUAAACUAUCUUAACUAGUCUCUGUACACAUAUUGCUGAAAAAAAUUAUGCCCAUUUCAUAGGAGAGAAACCUUGCAGAGGGUUAAAACGGGUAACCAUAUACUGCCAUGAAAAAGAAUAUCCACACCCAAACCCCAAUUUAAGGUUACACAAUAGAACUCCUUUUAAGAAUAUCCAAUAAGCAUCUUCUUACUCCAAAGCACAAUAUUUUACACUCGAAAGAUUAAAUCAUCAAGUAACACUUCCAUGCGCACAGAAGAAAACUUUCAUUGGUAUGAUAGGUUGAUAAUCGUCCAAGCACAAAGAAUGUUCAAAGCAUGAUCUACUCCCAGCCUUAUACUUAAGAUCAAUUUGAGUUGGUCCAUCAAGGACUGAUAAGGAGAACUGAAUUUAUACAUUGAUAGUAAGAGAUAAUCAUCAUCCUACUGCCCAGGCACUAGAUCCUGAACAUGACCACACCACUGGUUCUUACAAACCUAGCCAUCCACUUUUGCCACUGGUUCACAAGUAUUGCUCCUAAUGGACCCAAUCCCAUUGUAAUGUAUGCUUUUAUGCACUAGGUCUAUGAAAGUCCAAGCCUUAAAUUUGAGUUAAUUUGAUUAAACUGGAGUUAUUAGAAGGAUGUAGUUUAAAAGGUAGUUUUGAUGUAAUGUGAAUGGUGGCAGAGCAGGAGCUCCAUAUAUUGGAACCUUAUGGUGCUAAAGCGAAGUCCAACAUGAAAGAUAGAAAACAUUUUAGAUUUGAUCUGGUGAUUUGUUUCCUUCAAUGGUAUUUUAUACAUGUUUACCAGUUUGCAUGUGAAUGAAGAACAACUCAUAACAAGUAUGUAGAGCUCAAUUUGAGUUUUGAUACUGAACUAUAAAGUAGGAGUCAUGGAGGAGACUUGAGAAGGCAUGCAGUCACUUAUAAGUAGUGCGAUAGAUAGUUCCAUUACUUUUUCUUUUUCUCUUGUAUGAGGCGGGUUAGAAUAGGGAUUUCCAGGUCCAUAAAGGACAAAUCAUCACCUAUUCUUAGUUCAAAACAUGAAAGAGUCGGUCCAUCAAAAACAAAAAGGAGAUAUUGCUUUACAGAUUGUUGACUGAAAUGAAACUUUUUGCAGGUAGCAUUCAUGAUGAGGGAAUUUUUUUAAUGAUUUUUGUCAUGAUUAAUUGAUAGAUUAUUUUACCGUUUGUUUCAAGUUAUCUCUUGCAGCAUAGAAGGACGAGUUUCUAAAAUGCAUAUUAGUACUUUAGCUAAAACUCAAGUUUAAUGUACAAAUUAUUCUUCACGACAUUUUGUAAUUAAAAUUAGCCAGAGAAAUAAUCCUUUUAAAUAUUUUCUUUAAAUUUUUAACACUCUUUUUGGACCAAUGGCACAGACUGUUGGCAAUUCAGGGAUAUGCAUGAAGAACUCUACGUUACUUGGUUAUAUUAAGUUUCUGAGGCACUUUCUAGCAUGGAAAGUUAUCUGCUAGAUAAAAUUUCUAAAUAGAACAUGUUCACGCUGAACCAAUAGACAUGGGGGGGCAACAAUGAGUGUUUAUAAACUUCUACUCUUAGGCCAUAUAAAACAGAAUCAGAUUCCCAUGGCAUCCAUUCGCAUAUAUGUCAUGUUUCCAUCUUUCAAGCAUCUAAUGUCUGAGCAUGCCAUGCAUCAAAAUGUUUUCAGAACAGGCAAAAUCAGUUUUAUCUCGCUAGCAAUGAAGAACUUACAAAACCAACAUUCACUAGAGGAUUACGGUUAGUUACCUCAAGGAUAACAAACUUUUAACCCUGUUACUGUUGAAUUCUAUGAAAUAAUAAAAACAGGUUUUCCAUAGUGACUAGACUGAAGAUACAGGUUCCCUUGAGAAAUCAACAACUAAAAACCAGUCACAAGAGUGUAUACAUAGAUGGUCUAACAUUUAUACUAGCAAGAUUCAGUUUGGUAAUCGUUAUCCUAGUUCACAUAUUUAUUUAAUAUAACCAGAUAAGCACAAAUAAUGCAAUAUGCAAGGAAGAGAAAAGGAGGCUAAGUGAACAACAAUUCUUAAACUACAAAUUCAAGAAAGCUACUCGGGGAAAAAAUUUCUGCAAUCAAUGGAUGAAUCAACAGAUUAAAUAGUCCCAUUUCAGCUAAUGAAUUGCUUAUAUCACUAGCUAAACCUCAACAUUGUAACAAACCUUAUUGGAACUCAGCAAUAGACAAACCUUUGACAACCCUUAGCAGAGCCUAUUAGUCUUGAAAAUGUCUUAGCAAUUCAUGAAUCCACUAUUUUUCAUUCUCAGUAGUAUCUCUAGACCACAAUAAAGACUCUUACUAGUGCAGUAGGUAACUGCCUUUGUAUGUUCUAUAAUGUCCUCCACAGUUUUCAUGUAUAAAAGUAAGAGAACAUAACUAGCUAGACCAACUUAUGCCGCUGUAUUGGACAAUUAAUUCACCAGGUUUUUAUGCAUACACGAGAAGCUGUAAGAAUGAUUAAGGAUCCUAUACAAAUUAAUUUUUAAGAACAUAACACGUUUAUCAGUGAAAGAAUAUAUACGCUUUUAGACAAAUUAUAUAUGCUUUUAGAAAAAAAAAAUUUUACUUUUAUACGCUAAUCUAUACUAUAUACUGUUAAGUAUAUAAUAUAUUUGAAAUAUACUCAUAAUAUACUUCGAUGAUACUCUUUGUAUACUUAUAAUAUACUCGGAGUAUACGACAUACUAUUAAGCUUAUAAGUCCUUUUAAAUAUAAGUUGAAUAUACUUGUAAUAUACUCGAUGAUACUCGUUGUAUUCUCAAAAUAAAUUUGAUGUAAAUUAUUUUUAAAAUUAUUUUGUGCUUUUUCAAUUUGUUCAAAAAUGAUUUUAGUUAUCUAAUUUGCUUAGUUGUUAUAAUCUCAAAUUUGUUUUUCCAAUAAUUUUAAAAAUCUGAACGGAAAAAACUCAAUGAGAAUCAGAGUAUCAUAUACCUGAAAUAAAUUCAUUAUAUACCGUUCACUGUAAACUUUUAAAAUUAUUUUUUAUUUUCUCAUAAAAUUAUUUUUUUAUAUAAUGUAUAAUUGAUGUAUUUUAUAAGAUAUAUAUUAAACAUAUAAAAUAUAAAUACAAAUCUACUAAAUUUUAAAAAUAUAUGCUUAUGAUAUACCUAUAGAUAUUGAAUAUAUACUUUUUUCUAGAUUUUCCGAAUAAUAGAUCUGUUUUCUAUGGAUAUGAGUUUUGAAAUCCAAUAUUUACCUUAAAUAACUUAAAAAUCAUAUAAUAUAAUCAUUUUUAAAGCAUUUUAAUAUAUUUUAAAGUAACACAAAAUUAGCUAAAUACAUGUUUGAAAUUGAAUUUACCUCUUAUAUUGAUGAAUCUAUCUUCAUGAAAUUUUUUAUCUAUAAUUUUUUAUGUUUCUUAUUGCAUAUUAGCGAAUUGUUGAUAAGAUUACUAUUAGAUUUGUUAUAACAUCCUCAGAAAAAAUACCGUUAACUAUGAGAUUUGAAAAGUUAUUGCUAUUUGAUAUGAGAAUAUCUAUUACAUAAGAAUUUACAUACCUUAUGUUUUCUUCUUAAUUUCCAUCGUGGUGAAGAAAAAUAGGUAUUGGAUCCAUAUCUAUAUAGAAAUAAAUAUAAAAGAGGAUUUCAAAUUUGAAUGAAAAAAAAUUCAAUAAGAGUCAGAGCAUCAUAUACUUGAAAUAAACUCGUUAUAUAUUUAAUACAUAUUGUAAUCCUAAUACAUUUUGUGCGAUAAACAUAUAGAUAAAGUUUGAAUUAAUUUAUUCAAAUAAUUGAUCCAAAACUCCUUCAAAACUCAAAUUCUAGUUUAUAUACAAAGACCCAAAUUAAUAAUCAUAAACAAGAAUUAAAUAUAAUCCAACCUAUGUAUGAAAAUAAACAUAUAUAUAUAUUUGAACAAACUUAAUAAUCAAUAAAAUUACACAUUUUAUUUUUAAUUUAAGGUUAAGAAUUAACAUCUAAUUAGCUAAUCCUGAAAUUUACUCAGUAAUUAAUAAUUAGUAAUAAAACAAAAUAACACUAGAAGAUAAUGAUGUUUGGCUAUUAGAAGAAAAACUAAAAUAAAUAUAUAUGUAUAAAAAAAAAAAGAAUGACCGUUACAAUCAAAAGCUAAUUAAUAAUCUUGCAUUAUAUAAUUCAUUUGAAAAGCAUCGGGUGGCCCUGGUGGACCCGAUAAAUCAACUGGGCCAAAGAAUUUUGUAACAUUGAAAUCCAAAUUUUAAGAAGUACAGAAAAUUGGUUGUUUAAUGAGAUUGAUAUUGUUGGAAGGCAAAGAGGAUAAGAGAAAUGCCAAAAAAAGAUACCAACAUUCUUUUAGAUUUAACGUAUAAAAGUAAGAUAGACUGGUUUUGGAGUAAUUUUAUAAAAUUUUAAAAGUGGAAAUAUAGAAAUUAGUUGGAUUAUAUUAUAAGCAUUUCUAGAAAAUACCUCAAUUUUUUAUUGCUUAAAAGAUCCAUUAAAAACUAAGUCAAACAAACCUAAAUAUUUUUUUCUUUAGAAAGAAAUCUUUAAAUACAGCACACGAAGAUUUAGUCUGCAUUUUAUUUUAUUUGAUAUAUAUCCUUUUUGUUGGUUAGCUCCAGAAAAGAAAUUAAAUUAAUUUCUAAAUUAGUUUUUCCAUCUUAUAAUUCCUAGUCAAAAUAUCUUGUAACUGAUUUGGACAUACAUAAUAUACGUACAUUAAAAAUUAAAUUAAGCUACAAAAGAGGACAUGUGUAGGAUAGGGAUAUCUGCCUGCAUCUUCCCAAGAUAUCAACCAGUAAUUAAAUUAAUAUUUUUAUUACUUAGCACCUAUAAACUUAAUCUGACGGUAUAUGCAUAUCGCGAUGUUAUUUGUAACAAAAAUAUAUAUAUGUGCUGCCUAUAUAAAGCUUAAUCUUGCCACACCUACUCUGUGCAUACCAUAAUUCAUCCAGUGCAAUUCCAUUCCUGAAUCAAACUCUCAAUGAAAUCAGGUUAAUGGCAGAUUGAAUUUCGUCAAGGGGAAAUAUUAAUCUCAAAUCAAAAUUAUUUUGGCAUUCAUUCCUAAUCUCUUCUAACCCACCUUAACUAGUCUAUGUACACAUUGUUAAGCCUUGUGGUAACUCAACAAUGGACAAACCUUUGACAAGCAAUUAGCAAAGUCCAUUAGUCUUGAGAAAGUCUUAGCAUAUCAUGAAUCCACGAUUUUCAUUCUCAGUAGUAUCUCUAGAGUCUAGGACUCUUACCAGUGCAGUAAGUAAUUGCCUUUAUAUGUUCUACAAUGUCCUUCACAUCUUUCAUACACAAAAGCAAGAGAAUAUAGCUAGCUACACUAACUUAUCCCCCCCCUAUGCUGGAGAACUCACUAGUUUUUCAUGUUUACACAACAAGCUGUAAGAAUAAUUAAGGAAGAAUCCUAUAAAAACUAGUUCUUAUCAUGGAAAGCAUACUUAUUACUAAAUUCAUGUUGCACAAAUAGAGAUACGAAUAAAAUAACUUAAUGCAGUGUAGAAAUAAUUGAGAGAGGACAUUGCACACUUGUAUAGUUGUAUAAUGUAGGUUGACCAAAGGGUUCGUCAAAACUAAUUAAAAUUUCAAUACGGCAGUAUAAUUUCCCCAAAUAGACACCAAAGCAUCGUAUCUAAAGGAACGGAGCUAAUUGCAAAGAUAGAAAUUAUCAAUAAUUCACUGCUCCAUACUCCAUAUCUAAACAUACCCGAAAUGACAAGCAAUAAUAUCAAUAACCACAUGACUGAGAAGUUAAGAAAGAAAGAGUAGCAAUAGCCAAUACCUAUAAUUACUGCAGCUGAUUCUGCUGUUGUGGAUUAUGAGGAGGAGGCAUACCGGGACGAGGAGGUCCAUAACCAGGUGGAGGAGGCAUCCCUGGACGAGGAGGUGGUGCCAUUCCAGGUCUUGGCGGAGCAGGAGGUCCUCUCAUCAUAGGCGGUGGACCGCCCUGUGGCUGCGGAGGCAUUCCCAUGGGUCUUUGCCCGAACUGUGGAGGAGGAGGCAUAGGAAAACCCUGACCAGGUGGUGGAGGCCUAGCACCAAACUGAGGAGGAGGUGGACCGCGCCCCAUCGGUGGAGGACCUUGACCAGGGAAAGCCAUCUGUCCAGGGGGCCUAAUAACAGGCGGUGGAUAACUCA
rnacentral:lncRNA from 1 species